AGCAUAUCAAUAAGCGGAGGAAAAGAAACCAACAGGGAUUGCCCUAGUAACGGCGAGUGAAGCGGCAACAGCUCAAAUUUGAAAUCUGGCUCCGGCCCGAGUUGUAAUUUGCAGAGGAAGCUUCUGGUGAUAUACCGUCUAAGUCCCCUGGAACGGGGCGCCACAGUGGGUGAGAGCCCCAUGUGACGGAUGUAGAUCCUGUGUGAAGCUCCUUCGACGAGUCGAGUAGUUUGGGAAUGCUGCUCAAAAUGGGAGGUAAAUUCCUUCUAAAGCUAAAUAUUGGCCAGAGACCGAUAGCGCACAAGUAGAGCGAUCGAAAGAUGAAAAGCACUUUGAAAAGAGGGUUAAACAGCACGUGAAAUUGUUGAAAGGGAAGCGCUUGUGACCAGACUUGCGCUGGGCUGAUCAUCCGGUGUUCUCACCGGUGCACUCGGCCCAGCACAGGCCAGCAUCGGUUUUGGCGGGGGGAUAAAGACUCAGGGAAUGUAGCUCCUCCGGGAGUGUUAUAGCCCGGUGUGCAAUACCCCCGCUGGGACCGAGGUUCGCGCAUCUGCAAGGAUGCUGGCGUAAUGGUCAUCAGCGACCCGU
rnacentral:rRNA from 1 species